rnacentral:piRNA from 1 species
GAAUCCCGGGGCCGAGGAAGCCAGA